CCUUGACGAACAAUUAAGUUCGACAGAGCCAAGACAAGGAGAUUUAUAUG
rnacentral:ncRNA from 1 species